GACGAACGCUGGCGGCGUGCUUAACACAUGCAAGUCGAACGCUGAAGCUCAGCUUUUGUUGGGUGGAUGAGUGGCGAACGGGUGAGUAACACGUGAGUAACCUGCCCCCUUCUUUGGGAUAACGCCCGGAAACGGGUGCUAAUACUGGAUAUUCACUGGUCUUCGCAUGGGGGUUGGUGGAAAGGGUUUUUCUGGUGGGGGAUGGGCUCGCGGCCUAUCAGCUUGUUGGUGGGGUGAUGGCCUACCAAGGCGUUGACGGGUAGCCGGCCUGAGAGGGUGACCGGUCACAUUGGGACUGAGAUACGGCCCAGACUCCUACGGGAGGCAGCAGUGGGGAAUAUUGCACAAUGGGCGCAAGCCUGAUGCAGCGACGCCGCGUGAGGGAUGGAGGCCUUCGGGUUGUGAACCUCUUUCGCUCAUGGUCAAGCCGCAACAAUGGUUGUGGUGAGGGUAGUGGGUAAAGAAGCGCCGGCUAACUACGUG
rnacentral:rRNA from 1 species